rnacentral:rRNA from 1 species
UACGUAGGGGGCAAGCGUUGUCCGGAUUUACUGGGCGUAAAGAGCGUGUAGGCGGCCACGCAGGUCCGCUGUGAAAACUGGAGGCUCAACCUCCAGCUGUCGACGGAAACCGUAUGGCUAGAGUCCGGAAGAGGAGAGUGGAAUUCCUGGUGUAGCGGUGAAAUGCGCAGAUAUCAGGAAGAACACCAAUGGCGAAGGCAGCUCUCUGGGACGGUACUGACGCUGAGACGCGAAAGCGUGGGGAGCGAACAGG